GGUCCUGAGCUCUGUCGCCCUCUCUAUCAUUCUCUGCGAUCUAAAGAAUCAACACUCUUAAUCGAAGCGUUCAGCAGCACGGAUCUGUCUCUCUUCUCUCCGAUCACUUAGGACCCGUGAGAGCUUUCUAUCAAUUUGCUCUUUAUCAAUUUUCAACUGGACAUCUCUCUCUCUCAAAAUCUUUUUCCUCUCUAGGGUUUCCAUAUACACGUUCCCUCCCCCAAUUGAAAAAAAAAAAGAAAAAAAAAAAGGAAAAAAAAAAAGAACGAGGAAAAAAAAUCAAAAAGCUAGGGAAGAAGGGGUUAAGAAAAUGAUGUAGAAGUACCAUUAAGGUUUAACCGGUUGACAGCAGCAUUACUUUCGGGAGCCAUCAGGAGCCCUACAUCAGCCGAUCUUUUGCAGCUCUUUUGCAUUUUGUUAAUUUUGUACCUUAUUUUUUGUUACAUUCCCUUUUUUUUUCUUCUUUUUUUCUCUGAUGUAACUGACAGAAUUGAAUUACAUGAUAGUACAAUUCUUCAAGCAUGACAAUUGCGCCACCCCUUGUCAGAAUGUUGCACGGGUAAGGUAACAGAGGCUGUGAGCUUGUAUUGUUGAUUAAAUGGUGGGUUGGAAUUCCAUCCAAGUUUUGGUAGAAAUUUGAUGGUGGUUAUGUUGGGUUGGAAUCAAUGCCACCGGAGCAUUUAUGUGUUCUGGGGAAGGCAGAUUGCAGGAUGGAUUGAUGAGGUGAGGUUUCAGGUGUGAGAUGAUUUCUGAUUAUCAUUGAGCAAAAUGCUACAAAUUAUUCCAAAGAGAUCGUUGCACUAUUGCCUUUGCUUCCGGAAUGUGAAGAAUUCAAACAUUUGUUGUGGCUUGUGGGGGGGAAAAAUGGCAUACAGCUCAAAUUUGCUUUUAUAUUUUUUAGGAAAGUUUAAUUAAAUUAAUUUUAUACUUUGAC
rnacentral:misc_RNA from 1 species